rnacentral:tRNA from 1 species
GGGGAUUUAGCUCAGUGGCAUAAGCACCUGCCUUGCAAGCAGGCCGACGUGAGUUCAAUCCUCG